rnacentral:rRNA from 1 species
GACGAACGCUGGCGGCGUGCUUAACACAUGCAAGUCGAACGGAAAGGCCCUGCUUUUGUGGGGUGCUCGAGUGGCGAACAGGUGAGUAACACGUGAGUAACCAGCCCUUGACUUUGGGAUAACUUCAGGAAACUGGGGCUAAUACCGGAUAGGAGCUACUGCUGCAUGGUGGGGGUUGGAAAGUUUCGGCGGUUGGGGAUGGUCUCGCGGCUUAUCAGCUUGUUGGUGGGGUAGUGGCUUACCAAGGCUUUGACGGGUAGCCGGCCUGAGAGGGUGACCGGCCACAUUGGGACUGGGAUACGGCCCAGACUCCUACGGGAGGCAGCAGUGUGGAAUAUUGCACAAUGGGCGGAAGCCUGAUGCAGCAACGCCGCGUGCGGGAUGACGGCCUUCGGGUUGUAAACCGCUUUCGCCUGUGACGAAGCGUGAGUGACGGUAAUGGGUAAAGAAGCACCGGCUAACUACGUGCCAGCAGCCGCCGUAAAAC